rnacentral:rRNA from 1 species
UACGAAGGGGGCUAGCGUUGCUCGGAAUUACUGGGCGUAAAGGGCGCGUAGGCGGAUACUUAAGUCGGGGGUGAAAGCCCGGGGCUCAACCUCGGAAUUGCCUUCGAUACUGGGAAUCUUGAGUUCGGGAGAGGUGAGUGGAAUGCCGAGUGUAGAGGUGAAAUUCGUAGAUAUUCGGCGGAACACCAGUGGCGAAGGCGACUCACUGGCCCGAUACUGACGCUGAUGCGCGAAAGCGUGGGGAGCAAACAGG